rnacentral:piRNA from 1 species
UGAUGUGCAGUUUGAGCUUCAUACCUUU